CGGCGAUUGAGUUAUGGAAACAGCUGGUAAUUAAUGGCGUCUUUACCAAGGGUGAUAAUUAGCUUAUGUAUUAGAGGUGUGAAUAUUGUGUUUACUGUGGACCACCUGACAGGAGAUUUCAAGUUCUGGCUUACUUUCUUCUUCUUGAGGCGGAUACUUACUCAAAUUGCUACUCUUCCAUUGUCUGUAGAUGGAUCAGAAUGAAAUUUGCCAUCUUAUCCACAUCAGCACCAAUUUCAAGCCCGCCGAGUCCAGUACAUUCCCACACACAAACUGCUAGUGGAAAAAGAAGUACAGUCAAUGGGAACAAACGUGUUACCUUGAAAAGAUGGACUUCUCCUCAAGCCGUCUGUGACCUCGUUGUGUCCGAGAAGAUUAGAGUCAAGAACAGGGCUGCUAGGUGUCGAGGGACCCCGGACUUCGGAACAUCUCUUUAGGCACAGACUCAUCUCUGAGAUUGAAGGUCAGCUCCAGGUUGGCAAAGAAGUAGUCGGCGAACUCUGGAUACAUGUCCAACACCUCCAAAAGAUCCUCACGCUGGAUGGUGCUCAGGUCACAGUAACUCAAGGCCCGCACGUCAGCAUUGGACUUUCCAGACGAGUGGAUGUACUCACAGCCGAUCAGCAUGACACAAAUAGAAAAGAUCUUCUCCGAGUUCGUGUUUGGAGAAACAUUGCCAAAUCCCACACUGGUUAGACUGCUGAAGGUGAAGUAAAGCGCAGUGACAUACUUGUCCUUGAUGGAGGGACCAGAGCUGGGAUCGCUGUAGUUGUAUUUCUUUCCUAUGGACACUCCGAGAUUGUCCAGCCAGCCAAUUUUAUGCUCCAAGUAAGGCUUUUCCACAUUGCCGAUGGCGUACCAUAUACAAGCAAGCCAGUGGGCGAUGAGGGCAAAGAUGCACAUUAACAGCAUCAGUACGGCAGCUCCAUACUCAGAGUAGCGGUCGAGCUUCCUGGCUACUCGUACCAGGCGAAGAAGCCUUGCUGUCUUCAGCAGACCAAUUAGAGUGGUUGUCUAAACACAUACAGGGUACAUUUAGGGUUACUUGGUUUUAGUAAUUGCAAUAGAAAACAUUUAGUCAAAAACUAGCAGUGUGACACUAGGGCAUUUAAAGGGAAUGAGAAAGUUCUUGUUCAUUGCAGCAUUGCAAAAAUGUCUUUCAAAAAUGCACCUACAUACAAACCCUCCAAAUUAGCGGCACCAGAUUUAAAACAACACCACAUCUGUAUAGUUCUGCACUAUUUACCGUAAUGGGAGGCCAUCGGCCGUCAUUUACUUUAUGAGAAAAACAACAAUUAUAUUAUUUUUAGAGCUGUCAAACGAAUCAAAUUUUUAAUCGAGUUAAUUACAGCUUAAAAAUUAAUUAAUCGUAAUUAAUAGCAAUUCAAACCAUCUAUAAAAUAUGCCAUCUUUUUCUAUAAAUUAUUGUUGGAAUGGUAAGAUAAGACACAAGACGGAUAUAUACAUUCAACAUACGGUACAUAAAUACUGUAUUUGUUUAUUAUACCAAUAAAUCAACGAGAGGCAUUAAUAUUAUUAACAUUCUGUUAAAGCGAUCCAUGGAUAGAAAGACUUGUAGCUCUUAAAAGAUAAAUGUUAGUACAAGUUAUAGAAAUGUUAUAUUAAAACCCCUCUUAAUGUUUUCGUUUUAAUAAAAUUUGUAAAAUUUUCAAUCAAAAAAUAAACUAGUAGCCCGCCAUUGCUAAUGUCAAUAAUCACACAAUGCUCAUGGGUGCUGAAACCCAUAAAAUCAGUCGCUCCCAAGCGCCAGAAGAGGGCGACAAAACUCCAAAAAACACAAGUAACAAGUGGACGUUACACUGUGCUGUCAUUUUAAUCUGUUUGAGCGGGGCAUGUGUCUUAAUUGCGUCAAAUAUUUUAACGUGAUUAAUUUAAAAAAUUAAUUACCGCUCGAUAACGUGAUAAUUUUGACAGCCCUAAUCAUUUUACAUUUUUCUUCACUUACUUAAACAACACACUCAUACUUACGGGUUUGCCAUAUCUUCUUUUCUCUGGCAUUGACAUUUAAAUAAAUGCUCUGUACCAAAAUGUUGCGAAGAAUGCACAAAGUAUGCAAGCUGCUGCUAUAAUUCCAGUGUUAGAAGGUUUCAUGAUGUGCUGACAAGUGAAAAUCCAUUUCCCACUAGGGAUAGGAAACAACCGAAAUUGGACUACAGUACCCCUACGUGCCACAGUCUAUUCAUUUCGCUGCACUUCAUUGAGCUGGCUUUUGUCUGCAAUGAGUAGUAGUGCAUAGCAAGCAUAACAGAAUUGUAUGCAUUUAUUAUGCAGUAUUAAUCAAACAUACUGUGGGGGUUAAUUCUAAGAAAUGCAGCAUGGGCAUUAGUGGCUCUGUAAAACAAUAUUAUACUGAGGUUAUUUAGUACUCCUUAACUAAUGUGGAAUACAGUUAGCUUACUCUAUGUACAAGCAGCACAUUUUGACAAUAAUUUGUUUGCCUUUGAAAUGAUUACCUACUUUUGUGGAUGUCAGAAAAGCUACACAUUUUUCUGUAAGUAAAAGACAUAAGCCAUGGCAGAUGUGACACUAGUUCAUUCACGUUUAUCUGCUCAGGGAUUAUGUAAUAUAGUGGCUGAAAGGAUUCACUCUUUUUUGUAUUUUGUCCAUUGGGAAAAAUA